AGAGUUUGAUCCUGGCUCAGAUUGAACGCUGGCGGCAGGCCUAACACAUGCAAGUCGAGCGGAUGAAGGGGGCUUGCUCCUGGAUUCAGCGGCGGACGGGUGAGUAAUGCCUAGGAAUCUGCCUGGUAGUGGGGGAUAACGUCCGGAAACGGGCGCUAAUACCGCAUACGUCCUGAGGGAGAAAGUGGGGGAUCUUCGGACCUCACGCUAUCAGAUGAGCCUAGGUCGGAUUAGCUAGUUGGUGGGGUAAGGGCCUACCAAGGCGACGAUCCGUAACUGGUCUGAGAGGAUGAUCAGUCACACUGGAACUGAGACACGGUCCAGACUCCUACGGGAGGCAGCAGUGGGGAAUAUUGGACAAUGGGCGAAAGCCUGAUCCAGCCAUGCCGCGUGUGUGAAGAAGGUCUUCGGAUUGUAAAGCACUUUAAGUUGGGAGGAAGGGCAGUAAGUUAAUACCUUGCUGUUUUGACGUUACCAACAGAAUAAGCACCGGCUAACUUCGUGCCAGCAGCCGCGGUAAUA
rnacentral:rRNA from 1 species